rnacentral:rRNA from 1 species
UGGCGGACGGGUGAGUAAUGUCUGGGAAACUGCCCGAUGGAGGGGGAUAACUACUGGAAACGGUAGCUAAUACCGCAUAACGUCGCAAGACCAAAGAGGGGGACCUUCGGGCCUCCUGCCAUCGGAUGUGCCCAGAUGGGAUUAGCUAGUAGGUGGGGUAACGGCUCACCUAGGCGACGAUCCCUAGCUGGUCUGAGAGGAUGACCAGCCACACUGGAACUGAGACACGGUCCAG